rnacentral:rRNA from 1 species
ACGCUGGCGGCGUGCCUAAUACAUGCAAGUAGAACGCUGAAGGAGGAGCUUGCUUCUCUGGAUGAGUUGCGAACGGGUGAGUAACGCGUAGGUAACCUGCCUGGUAGCGGGGGAUAACUAUUGGAAACGAUAGCUAAUACCGCAUAACAGUAGAUGUUGCAUGACAUUUGCUUAAAAGGUGCAAUUGCAUCACUACCAGAUGGACCUGCGUUGUACUAGCUAGUUGGUGGGGUAACGGCUCACCAAGGCGACGAUACAUAGCCGACCUGAGAGGGUGAUCGGCCACACUGGGGCUGAGACACGGCCCAGACUCCUACGGGAGGCAGCAGUAGGGAAUCUUCGGCAAUGGACGGAAGUCUGACCGAGCAACGCCGCGUGAGUGAAGAAGGUUUUCGGAUCGUAAAGCUCUGUUGUAAGAGAAGAACGAGUGUGAGAGUGGAAAGUUCACACUGUGACGGUAUCUUACCAGAAAGGGACGGCUAACUACGUGCCAGCAGCCGCGGUAAUACGUAGGUCCCGAGCGUUGUCCGGAUUUAUUGGGCGUAAAGCGAGCGCAGGCGGUUAGAUAAGUCUGAAGUUAAAGGCUGUGGCUUAACCAUAGUACGCUUUGGAAACUGUUUAACUUGAGUGCAAGAGGGGAGAGUGGAAUUCCAUGUGUAGCGGUGAAAUGCGUAGAUAUAUGGAGGAACACCGGUGGCGAAAGCGGCUCUCUGGCUUGUAACUGACGCUGAGGCUCGAAAGCGUGGGGAGCAAACAGGAUUAGAUACCAUGGUAGUCCACGCCGUAAACGAUGAGUGCUAGGUGUUAGACCCUUUCCGGGGUUUAGUGCCGCAGCUAACGCAUUAAGCACUCCGCCUGGGGAGUACGACCGCAAGGUUGAAACUCAAAGGAAUUGACGGGGGGCCCCGCACAAGCGGU